AUUUUUGAAUUUAUGUGUUAUUUUAUUUAUGGAUUUGAUGAUCUGUGAUUUUUGUUUGCAAAAGAAGGAGAAUAUUACUUCGAUUGGCUCAAAGAUCGCGAUAAUUUGAACUCCAUGCCUUUUUUUCUGUAUUUGUUUAUCAUAACCAAUGUUUCAUUUGUUUGCUUAGGAAAACCUAAUGGGUUUUUUAUUACUCUGCUUGAUUGAAGUUUAGAUUUUGUGGAUUUUAUUUUUUUGGGCUAAUGAGGAUUUGCAUAUAAGUUAUCAUGAUAUUAUUUUUCUAGAAACACACUAAAGUGGAAGAUACAAACCUGAAAAGGACCCGCGAAGACCUCCAAAACAGAAUUGAUAUUCUACGAAAGCAAGUAGAAGGGCUUGUCAUUGAUGCUGUCGUGUGGCAUGAUGGAGAAGUAUGGAGGGCUGCUCUUGACACAUAGAGUCUUGAAGAUGACCUAGAUUCUAGGGAACUUUCUAACUUUAUCCUCUGACUGAUUAUAGGCUUCAAUAAUCAAAGAUGCUAUUAAAUACAUCCAAGAGCUCCAGGAACAAGAAAGAAGAAUCCAAGCUGAGAUAAUGGAACUUGAGUUCGGGAAAGCGAAGUAAAAUCCGAGUUACGACUUCAAGGAAGAGCUACCCAUCUUGUUGAGAUCAAAGAAAAAGAGAACUGACCUUAAACCUACCUACUGCGUCCCCACAUAUAUUACUCUUUGGUCCUGCCAUUAGUUCUGCCAUUUCUAUGUUGAAUGUUCAUAUGAUUCCUAUGUUGGGCGUGUUGAAGUUUUUUUAUUCCUAAUCCUAGAUGAGAUAUUUCCAAUGGAAUUUUAUAGGUUCUUUGACAAACCAAGAGACUUUGGUAAAGUGCUUGCCAAACAUUUUGGCGCUAGACUGCUAAUUGUUGAUUCUCUUAUGUUGCAUGGUGAAAGCUUCCUUGAUGCCUUUAUAUGAUUUUCUCUUUUGUUGUUGAAAUUUACCUCCUCUCUAUUGUAAGGAUUUUAUUGCUGUCUUUUAAGUUGCAAUUUUCUGUUAACAAAAGCUAUUUCCACAUUAUUGUAAUAUAAGCUCUUGAUUGGACCAAAGAAUUACCAGUUUUCAUCCAUCUUACUUUUUUUUUUUUGGCACCGUUGCAAAUAAUUUUAGGGAUCAUCACCAAAAGAUUCUGAUUUUGUGAAAGAAGCUUUGAGGCCUAACUGAGCAUCAAUUUUUGUUAAACAAGUUGCACAGACUGCUGGGUUUCAGUAUAAGAAGCCAGCUUCUAGCGUUGUGGUGGAUUUUGUUUUUGAUAAGUAGCGUUGAGGUUGAUAUUACAGGUGGAUCGUUAAGUUCUCAGGCUCUACCGAAGUAGGAGGCAUCCACUACAUCAUCAAAAAGCACUACACUCAAAGCAGGCACGCUAUUUCUCUACCCUUUUAUGUAACUAUUACUAUAUAUAUAUAUAUAUGAAUGCUUGAUUAUCCAUAUGCUUGGUUACUAUGCGAUGAAUGGUUUAUCAUAAUUGAUUAAUACUACAUAGAGUCAUUUUGAGUACUUCCUGUGCACUCCAUUGAUGUGAUUGACUGCAUCAAUGUUUUUUAAUACACAACCAAUUACAUCAGUAAAGUGCGCAAAAUAGUACGCAAAAGUGACUGCACAUAGAAUUUUUUAUCAUAAUUUAUUUAGUAUCAAUUCUGCUAUGUACAGUGGUGGGUAGGAGUCGGCAUGCAAUUGUAUGACUUGGCAAAACAUGACAUCAGCAUCAAUAAAAAAUUAAAAAACAAAACAAGAAGAAGAAGAAGCAUACUCAGAUAAAGUUACGGCAAAGAAACCCGAUUCCCGUUCUCCUAAACUCAGACUUUCUCCCAGUUCAGUUCGCAAACCACUUUCUUCCACUUCCAAUUCACUUAUUGCUUAAUCUUCAGAUCUCUCCCAGUUCACAAACUGGAUUUCAAUUCUCCCAAACCCAAUUUGUAACUUUCUCCCAAGUUCCAGUUCGUAAAUUGCCAAAUACCUCAAACAAUUUGCAAACCCGUAUACUUUUUUCUAGUUUUAGUUCUAGAGCCAACUGAUACAUUCAAGAUUUUAUGGAUAGCUGAAGAUAAACCACCACUGUGUAAUGUUAAAGAAUCUAAAGUCACCACUGUGUAAUGUUAAAGAAUCUAACUUAUAAUUUAAUCCAUAAAACAUUAGCUAAACAGAUUAUAAAUAUGAGUAUGAAUUGAAAAAUACAAACAAACAUUUACAAGAAAAAAAUUGUUUAUAUUGCUAGAAACUCAAUUGCAGAUUUCAUGAAUAAAAUUUUCAAAAGCCAUCAAUGUCAAAAUUUGGCAAACACAGGAGAACACACUUGUGGGGUUGGUGUAGAGUGGGCUGUGCAGGUUGGGAAGGGUGAGAAAGCUAAGAAGGAGAGGGAGUUCUAGCUCAGUGGCAUUGUUGAUGACGAUCCUCAACGGGUUUGUGGGGUUCAGCCUUUGCACCCUUGACAAGUGAAAAUCUCCAUGUUAUUGCUCCCACCUAAUCUGAGAUGAAGAGGGAGAAAGAGAGGUAGAAGAAGAAAAGGGGAGGGGCUCUGUUUAUGAAAUGCUGUCAUUUUAUUAAAGUGACGUGGGCUACGAUUGCACAUGGCGCUUGUCUUUAGCUUUUUUUCAUUUAGUAUACACAUAAUUUAUUGCUGCAUCAUGUAAAAUUUACAAAUCUGUCGGUACAUUACCUUUUGGAGUUCAUCCACUACCUAAUUCUCCUCUAAGGUAUUCUUUCUGCAUGCUAUAAAUCCCACACCAUUCAUUGGCAUAUAAGGAUUGAUUGGGGAUUACAGUUUUAUUUUGUGUAUCAGGAUCUAGUACUAAUUCUUGUCUUAAGGGAAUGAUUAGUGAUCUUAUGCUGGGUUUGCCCACAAUUCUGGUUGGGGAUUGCCAAUAGAAACAUCAUAUGUUUGAUAAAAUGGUAGUCUUUAUGUAAAUAAAACAAAUUAUUUGACAUUAAGUAGAAAACUAUGCUUGUAAAUAGGUAUAUAAAGACAUUAGUAGACAAUGUAUAGCUAAUGCAUUCCCUUUGCCAACUAAGCAUAGCAAGAAAGUGGAUAGGUAUGACUUAGUACGAAGGUGGUAUAGGUAUUGAUCAUUAAUAUAUCAUAUCUAACAUAGCUAACUUCUAUGAAUUUCUUAUAUGCAUGACUUAAUACAGAUGAAUUACCUUUAACAUCUAUGAAUUUCUCUGUUAAAGACUUGCUUGACUAUAAUUGAUUUAUUAGGUUUGAAGUAAUGAUAGUACUCCAACACUCCCAAAGACUUGGUGUUGCUACAUCUAUUAGCAAUCAUUUAUGGAUGUUUUAUAGCUAUAAUUCAUUAAAAAAUCAAGGGAAAAGGGUUGAAAACUUGAAGAACCUGAGAGAGAAAAGAACUUACCGCUAUCUUUUACAGUUUCUAUUGCUAUCUAUUUCAAAUUUUUUUACUAUCUAUUUUGAUUUUCAUGUUUACAUGAUCCUUCUCUUAGAGUUGAGUUUUAAUUUUAAUGUAGAAGUAUGUUCUUUCUCUUUAAUUACUGGAAAAUGAGGAAUUGGCAGGGAUCUUAAGGGGGUUGAGGUCGGACUAGGAACAACAAGGAGGAGGGAUGAUGGAGAACAUUUGCUCCAAGAAGUCGUCGUGGGAGGUGGGGUCAAAGUGUGACCUGGUGGUGAAUCUUAGAGCUCUGGAUUUGUGACUAUUGUUGUUGGUCAUGAUCAAAUAGAUAUGUUUUGAAUUAUGAGUAUAAAAUUAAUUGAAGAGGUACUGUGUUGUUGGAUCAUAAUGACCCUCCUGUCAUAAGAUGAUUGUUUUACAUAAAUUUUUAUUGAACUUAAAGUUCUGGUUGGA